CCCCACUUUGCUGCUGCGGCUGAGCGUGGGUUGGUCUCCGUAAGCCGUGUGAGUCCUUGGGGUGGCUGUGCUGGCCUUGGCGUAUGCUGAGCCCGUGCUGCCCCUGGCUUGGCCACCACAUUGUUCUAUGGAAGCGACUGCUGGCAUCUAACCGCCAUGUAAGGAGCUGCAGACUCGGCUGUAACGUGAGAUUGUGCAUCUGGUGGAGUGAGGGAAGAAGGUGGGCAGGGAGGGGGAGGUUUCUCCAGCCACAGGACACACUCUCCUGUCUUCUUCUGCCCAUUUUUUUUUCCUCAGUUAGCCCGAGGCCGAAGUAGCAGCUUUCCAUUCAUGCAGGUUGAGAGGUUUUAAUGUAGUUUUGAGAAACGUGCCUGGAGCCCCUAUGAAAGGGGCUGCAAGAAGAAUGUGUGUGUGUGUGUGUGUGUGUUUGCAGUGGUAGGUUUUCCUUUUUUUCUUUUUUUCUUUCUUUUUUUUUCCCUUCUGGUUUUGCUGGGUUGCUGCCAAACCUUUCCUUUUGGCUAUAUUUUUUUUUAAGAUGUAUUUUUUUCCACGAGUGGCUUAGAGUUGUAACUUAUCCCGGUUAAAGCCGCGGAGAGGUCCUGUUCUCAGAGAGAACGUUUCACUCGGCUGAGGAAAACGGAGGAGAGGGAGAGAAAGGAGCACGGGGUGGGUCAGGAGAGUGGUAGCGGGUGGUAGGGAAGUCUGUGGUCCUUCAGGUCUUAUGUGUAUCUUGACAGGGUGACAAGGCAGCAAAGAGUUGGGCCCAAGAGGAAUGAAUUAGCUGUGAAACGCUUGUGAGGGGUUACAGAAACACAGAGCUGCGCUGUGCUGGAAGCUCUGGGGGGGGUCUGAAGUUGCUCUCCCUGUGCCAUCAGGAAUCAAUCCCAGGCUGCUUCAGCACUGUUCUCUGACAGGGUCGGGAAGGUAUGGAGGCUCUUGUGCAGCUCUGCUGCUUGGCAGACCUUCCUCUGCGGAAGAUGGAUGGUGUGAGUGGUCAGGUGGGAGCACAACCCCUGCAUUGCCUUCCUGGAACGCUUUUCUGGCACUGCCUUUGGGGAGGAGCGAGGCCAAUGCUUGAUGACCACACAGGGAGCUUGUGCAGUGUGUGGUGGCACAAAGGGUUGCCCUUUUGCUGCAAGGCUGUGAGGAGAGAGGUUGGGUGGUGAUGUAGGUGCUGUGCAGGUGGCAAAUGGCUUGCAGGCAAAGAGAUGCUUUGCAUCCUCUUGCAGCUUAUGGUUCACAAUUGCCCAUAGUGCUCCACUCUCUGUUAGAAGAGAGCAAUGGGGCAAUGUGCUGCCCUGGAGCUUCCAGGGCAAGGCUGUUCAGGAAGCUUUCCCAACUUUACAGAAGUGUUUCCAGGCAAACAACUUCCACUUCUCCUGGGAUGCCCCCUCUGAAGCAGUGUGCCUUGGUUCCUUCCUGUUAACUCUGAGUUGGUUUAGAAAUCUGGCAUUCACUUUUCUUCCUGUGAUAAGGUAUUUUAAAACUGGAAACAAAAGAUGCUUCAGUCUCACUUUAUGCCAUUCUGCGUUCAAACUGCUCUUUGCAGCCCCUGCCUGUUUCACACGUCCUUCAGCCCUGGCCUUUGGCAUCUAACGCAGAGCAGAAUCACUCCUGGGGCUCUAAACCUUCCUUAACUGCUGAGAAACCACUGUGCUGCAUCUGCCCGCUGCCUGCGUUCAGCCCUUUGCCUCUGCUUCCCCGCCGCCUCCUCCUCCUCUUCUUCCAGCAGAUAAUGGGAUGACAGUCCUGUUGCACAGGGCACGAAAAGGCAAUCAUUGCUCUCCAGCAGUGCUUUCUAAGGCAGAAGCGGUGCAGAGUGGGGCUCGAGGAGAAUGUGGGAGAGGCAGUGCAGCAGGCAGGGGGACUGGCCCCAUGUCCCUUCAGGCACAAAGGGGCUGCUUGUGGUGCUGUGGGGUAGUGAUAUUGAUGGCCCCCACCUGCUUUUUUAAGAAUAUGUACGUAGUUUAGAACAAACGCAAGCUUAUUUCCCUAGCAGGUUGUAUUGAGAAAUGCGAGCAGGACAGCAGAGUCCAGAUUACUUCUGCAACCCAGACAGGAAACGGAAUACCACAAGCAGCAAUUUUGAGCAUGUUCUUUUGAGGUUUCUUGCUUUUGUUCGUUCAUUAUGUCUUUUCCUGUUGGUUUCUAAGUGUAGUUUUGUGCUUAUAAAUGAUGCUGAGCCCAGAUUGUUGGUAAAAGGAGAGGAGGAGCUGCUUCCCACCAUCCCUGGAGCCUGUCCUCAUGCGGGAUGCUGCCCCAGACCCUUCCUUGGGGAACACCGUGACAGCCAAGCACUGCGGGGUGGCUGUGAAGCAGGAGGUGAGCUGGUGUCCAGCCUCACGCCUGCUGUCCCUCCUCAUUGUGGGGCUGGGAGAGCAUUCAUCUCUUGGACUUCCAACCAAGUGUGAAAAUUCACAGGUCAGGGGGUGGAAAAAAGGCCGCUAUUAGUGUUAUUUUAAGCACGAGGGAAUGAAUUGGUGAGUGCUGGGAGCAAUAUGGAAAAGCAAGAGAGGCAGUGCCUCUUCGCAGCCCCUUCACGGGGCGGUGAUGCCGAGGAGAGGGGAUCGCUGCCCGAUUUGAAAGAGAAUAGGGCCAUGACCAAUCGCUGUGAAAUGUGGCAAUAAUGCCUUCCGCAGUGGCCGUGGGAUAAAAGGCAGGGACAGCCUGAACUGUAAAGAUGUUUCAUUUCCCUGGUAAUGAGGGAGACACACUGUGGCAAUGGAACCAGAGAGAGAGAGACCGUGAGAUGCUAAUUUCUGCUCCUGUUGCCGCUGCAGCUUUGAUCUGAAGCAAAUGCCCGUUUUAAAUUGCAAACGGAUGCAAGUCAGAUAUCAUCCAGCCACUGGCUUACAGGCUUAAUGAAGUGGGACGCACGCCUCGGCCUGAUAAUGUUCCGAGAGGCAGGCGACUGGGAGAGGAAUUACUGAGGGUCUGAGGAGACGGGAGGAAGGCUGAGGAUGUCAUGGGGGAAAUCAUCACCGGGGGCACAAAGCCUCCUACUUGGUGUUCUUGGCGAGUUGUGGCUGAGCCCCUCAUCCUCUGUGCCAACAGAAAAGAUGUGAGCGUGCUGCCCUGCUGUUAUGUGUCCUGUGUUUUGAGGCAUCUUGAACAGGCCGCCGAGGUUAUGGUGCUCUUUGCUCUCAGAGUGCGGACAUCACCAGGUAAGGCAAACUUAGAAAUUGUAACCAGCUCAUUUUGUGCCAUCGUUUGGGCACUUAAUCGGACUUUAGAAAGACAACAUGCGUUGAGACUCUGCUGAUAAGACUGCUCUGGGGCAGACCCAGAAGCCCUGGGGAACAAGUUCACCGUGCCAGCAGUGAUAUGGAAUAAUGGUAGCUCACACUGGACAACCUCAUCUUGAGUCUCGUGCGAAGAUCUACCUGUUUUAAAGAAUUAAUAUUGGAAGGGAUAGAAUCACAAAGUUAUUAAAGUUAGAAAAGGCUGCUCAGAUGACCCAGUCCAACCACCAGCCCAUCCCCACCAUGCCCACUAACCACGUCCCUCAGUGCCACAGCCACACAGUUCUUGAGCACCUCCAGGGAUGGUGACUCCACCACCUCUAUGGGCAGCCUGUGCCACUGCACCGAGAAGAAAUGUUUCCUAAUUUCCAACCUGAACGUCCUCUGGUGCAACAUGAGGCCAUUCCCUCUCAUUCUAUCACUGGUUAGAUAUUUAUUACACUUUUCAAUAAGGCGAGGAACUUGAGUCCUACUGUCAAGCCAGUUUGUUAUGUACCUGGAGUACUUCCUUGCACAAGAGCAAUGGGAUACAGAAGAAUCUAACUGGAGGUAGGUAGUCUCAUCACCCAGGCAUUUUUAUAUUCUUAUUCUACGUUUACGUUGUAGCUUUGCAUAUAACUGCAGAAGAUGCAAAAAGAAGCACGUGCGUCCUCACACCCUCUCUUUCUUUCCCACUACCCCACAAGGCUUUUGUUUCCGACAAUGCUUUCAGAUGACUUCCCCUUUGGUAGAGUAAAUCACGUUAAUCUGAAGAAUGCUAGGCAAGAUGAAGUUUUUAGAUUACGCUUUAUUUUUCUACGGUGUUUUGCAUUUAAGGACAUCACACCAUCACAAUGCGUAGUUGAGAAUUUUCUCUGCUUGACAAAUGAGGGAGCUUAGAUGCAGCAGUUUGCUAUGAAACAGUGAGGAGAGAAAAAAUAAAUCAGAAAUCUCCUCUAGAGAAGGAGACAGGAAGAAAAGCUGACUCCAAUACUGAGAAUUAAAGAGAAAAAUCUCUGCUGGACCCAAAAUAAGUCUCCAUAGAAACAGCUUUUUCUGAAAAUGAAUUACUGCAGUAUGAAAUGAAGAUUGUGGAUCUAGUUCUGCAAAAUAUUUAAGCAUGUUCUUUGCUUAUCCCUAUUCAGCUCAAGAUGCAAGCAUGAGAUUUCCAUGGGUGCUUAUGUACCUUAUUUGAUGGAGGUAGGAACAUGAACAAGCAUUGUUGAAUGGAGGUCUGGGCUUUCUUGUGCUUCCUCACGGCUGACCAACUUACAACUUAUUUUUUAAUGCCAACACGUGUUGCUUGGCUGCUAAAAUUACAGACAGCAGCACAUAGACUACAGUGCCUCAUUUUUGGAGUUCAGCGCAAGGUUCCAGUAGAUUCUUCUCAUUAACAGGGAGUGGAGUCAACAGAGUGUUUACAUUGCUGGGUACUUUACUGUUCUGUUAAUUAACUCUUGUUGCAUUUGCCUGCAGAUUUAAAUUUAUAUGGGAUAUUUAUUCUGUAAAUUAACAACAUGGUGAUUAUCUGAUAAUUAACUUGAGAGUCAAUGGCAUGAGAGGUUGAGAUUUAUUCCUAAUCUAUCUUUUGUGCACCUCUAUUUGUGGCCUAAGGACAUUUUUAAGACGGGAUAGGUUCUUAAUAUCUUGCAUGCUAAUUUACUUUUAUUGUGAAUGUGUGCUAGCAAACAAUUGUUUUUAGUUUAAGCUAUUUGAGACUGCUUUGUGCAUCUUUUUUUUCCUUCUGUUGUGACUUUAUGUUCAGCCAAAUUACUAGGACAAAUAAGGUCUGACUCAGUUUUAUUCCUGUUUACUGUACUUGGUACAGGUGAAGAUUUUGCAUAGCUAAGCUGUGGCUGCUUCUCUUCAGAAACUUUCUAUCUUCUUACUGUUUUUUAUUUCUGACCAACUUCUGACUUAUUUAUUUGGGGAGGUAUCCAUUUGUAGAUGCCCCAUUUAAGCAUUUCCCAGUGUCACUAUAGAGCCCUGCAUAGAGAAUUUAAGGUCACCGAUGACAGGGCUUUGGGACUGUCUUCAGAAGAACAAGCAGUCUUCAUGGAAAUUUGCCUAGAUUGUGUCCCUUCCUCUGUUCAUCUCUGCCGGUCCCAGCCAAAACAAGCUCUCAAGGCAUUUCAACAAUCCAUCUUAAUAUAACGUUCAGCACAGAGACUGUUGACCUACUGUUGAGCCAACGUGAAUGGUCUCCCUCCUGUGUGACCCUUCAGCCCCUCCAAGGCUGUCCCUGUGUUGGGCUUUACAUGUACCAAGCUGGAGGUAGUCACAAUGUCGAGGCUCCUGCUGGAGCCCAGGUCUUCAGCAGGGGAAUCAUCUCCAGCUGAAACUGUCCCUUGUCCCUGUUGGACUGGAGUUUUCUCUUACUGCUGGAAAGUAUUCAUUUUCAGAACUUUCUCUGAUGUGGAGAUGAAAGAUGCACAUCGUCUCCCAGAGGUUCAGCUGUUUCUUGGUAAUUCCUGAAAUCCACACUCAUUUUGCAGUCUUCCUCGCCUCCUCUGUGCUUUGGGACAGAUUUUUUUUGUUUGCCCAUGCCUGCCAUUCUGUCAUCUGAAGUGCACGUCAGAGAUGGCAGCAGUUAUAGCUCGUUUUGCAGUGGUUCUCAACUCCAAGCCUUCCAGGGACUGUGAAAAAUAUGCCAUCAAAGGAAAUCAUGAUCUUCCACAAGCCCAGCUAGGGGAAAUGCAGGUGCCUCAUGGACACUCUUUCCUCUCGAAUGCUUUCAGAUAACGAGGAGACCCAUGACCUGUGUAGAGUCCAAAGUGAUGGAUAGAUUUGCACAAAAGUAGAAAAAGUUGUUGCCUUUUUGCUGCCUCCUCAGAUCCGGAGGGUCUCCAUUUCCACGUUGCACUGACAUAUGAACAAGAAAGUGCUGCCUGAACAUAGGGUGUUCAGUGAGGUCCUAGUCCUCACUGGUUAGGGACUAAGAGGGCAGGUCCUUCUCCCCCAGGCCCCACUGGGGUCAGGCUGACUCCCUGGAGACCGAAGUAGAGAGGGGAGCUGUGCUUCCAUGUGCCAUUGGCGAUGGCUAACCAGUGCAGAAGUCAACUCUGCUUGGCUUCUGUUAGGCUUGCCUAGGUUCCCCCAGAGGUGCCUUGUGCCCGUGAAUCCAGCCAUGGUGCCAGGAACAUCCUCAUCCCCACAUAUGGCUCCAUCAGGUCAUGCACGUGGCCCACCACUGCUGACUCCUCAGUUGGGCACGUUUUCCUUCUGAGCCUGCAAAGCCUGCUGUUGGUGUGCCAAACUGAAGGCACGGAAAUAAAUAGGAAUUUAUUUUUAACCCAGUGUGAGAUCUCUCAUUCUUAGCUUUUCUUUUUUUUUUUUUUUUCUUUUUUUCCCUCCCCAUAAUUGGUUCUGUUUUUGCUAACGGUUUGGAAUUUAGCAGCUAUUCCUGCCUGAGAGUGUUACUUUGUUAGCUGGUAUUAGAGAAGGAGAUUAAGGCUGUUGUUAGCAGUGGAGGCUGCAGGACAUAUGGGUAAUGCAAACCUGCUAGUGACAAAGUUGUUUUGAGGCAGUGGGACAGAUUGCCUGGCUUAGCAGCAGUGAAAUGGUGAUGAGGUAAGUAGUGCUGGGAAAAUCCUAUUAGGGAAGGAGAACAGCGCACUGGAACCGAGCAAUCACAAGGUGCAUGGUACCAAAUGUGUUGUUUCUCUAAGAAAUCAAAUUCACGUUAGUUGCCCAGUGGGGACUCAUCUGUCUCCAAACUGCACUUGCUCUGUGAGCAGGCUCACAGGCUGCUCUGAACAUCCCAGCUUUUAGUAACGGCUGAAGACCAAAAGACGAUGACUCUAGGCCUUCCAGGCAGUCAGCUCUGAUUUCGGUCAGAUGUUUCCUCCUCCAUCCCAUCGCAAGACGUGGAGCAGGAUGAAGGACAGAGAGAUCUAGAACAGCAUCCUGGAUCUGAUCCUUGUUGCUGCGAUGGAGGUUAGAGCAGGAGGGCAGUGAUUUCCUUAAUGCAUACGGGGCAGCAGGAAUGCACGUGCACCUAAAGGUUUGGCUAAAUACCACUGGCUCUCAAAGGUUUCAAUCUAUUGUCCCCUAUUGGGAGUGUUCCGCAGCACUGUUCCUAAAGCAUUUCCUGGGCUCUCUUUGGCCGGUAGGUGUUUUUCUGUGGGUUUGGUUUUGUGUUGUUUUGUAGGGUUGUUUUUUUUGCCUGUUGCUCUACAGUAAGUAGAUUAGCCACGAUUUAUUUGAGACAGGACUGCGGCUGGUGAUUUGUGCGUCGUUGUGGGUGUAGGAGCUGCAUGAUCUCAUCAUGAAAGGUGACUGCUGUGCAGCACGAGGGACGAGGGGACAGGUUAGGAUAAAUGACACGGGGGAGUCUGGGUCCACCAGUGGGCUGCAGGCCUGCCAGCUGGCGGGGGAUGCAGGUGGGAUGAUCUGCACUUCUAAAUACAGCCUCUCCCUGCACCCUCAUGAUUAAGGGCAGCUCUGUGGCAGACAUGUCUCUAUUUUUAUUCUGUUUUUAUUUUUUUUUUUCAGGAGGAGAUGGGGGACAAACAAGGGAACCAAUCUUCCUGCAGAAGAAAGGAAGACCCAAGGGGCCGACCAGCAGAGGCAGCACUUCUGCCACCAAGGACAAGGGCUGCUUGGGCAUCGCAGGAUCACCAAGGUUGGAAGAGACCACUAAGAUCAUCUAGGCCAACGCCCGACCCAGCAUGGGAUGGUGCUGUCGUGAUCCUUCUGGUGGCUCUGGAGGUGCCUGCUCAGAUCUUCCUCCUGUCUUGACAAAGACGAGAUAGCAUCAGAGAUUGAGGAGCUGGAAGAAGUGGAUCAUAUCCCCUUUAGACACUGAAAGGCCGCUACCAGGUCAGCUCGCAGCCUUCUCCAGGCUGAACAGCCUUAACUCUCUCAGCCUGUCCUCGCAGGAGAUGUCUUCCAUUCCAUGGAUCAUUUUUGUGGCCCUCCUCUGGAUGUACUCCAACAGGUCUACAUCUCUCCUGUACUGAGGACUCCACAUCUGGACUCAAUACUCCAGGCAAGGUGAGCUGCAUGAGAAAGAAGCAAAAGAGGCUCUCCUGCCCCUGGCCGUGCAGGCUUUGGGAUGGGAAAGGGCUCCCUUCUCCCCACGGUGACUCACCUCCAGAUUACACCAGGACUGCUGAACCUGACACUUCAUGGGCAGCAAUUUGCGCAUUGCAACGAGGAAAUUAAGCCAAAGCAGAGCGCCUACCUCAUGCAAACGUGACCUCUGUGCCCAGCAGCCAUUUGACACUCUCCAUUAAACAACUCUACCUGCAAUUAAAAUCAUCCAAAGCGAGACUUUGAACUGCUGGGCCUUAGGAUUACAGCUCCAGAGGGACCAGUAAACGCAAGAUACGUAUGUUUCUCUCCUCCUGCUUUCUUCUGUGCCUCUCCUCUAAAGAAGAGUUCUGAAGGAGUCUGAAGGAAAGAACAAGAGCCUGGAGCUGGGUAUAGAAUGACAGAAUCAUAGGUGCUAUACUAUUACACUUGACAACUGUCACCCAGACCUUGAGCUUUUUGGUUGCCAGGGAAACCUUGCAGGAGAUAACCUGAGUGCAGCUGCCAUCCAGGUCCCCUUCUCUUCUGGAGCCCAGCUGCCACCUCCAGAAAUGCCAACACUUGGUUGUAAGUAUCUCAUCUCAGGAAAGGGGGACCUUGGACAAUAAGGCUAUUUGCAGUCCAGAAGAUAUUUCCUUCUGAAGCAGGACU
ensembl:lncRNA